UACGUAGGGUGCAAGCGUUAAUCGGAAUUACUGGGCGUAAAGCGUGCGCAGGCGGUUGUGCAAGACAGAGGUGAAAUCCCCGGGCUUAACCUGGGAAUGGCCUUUGUGACUGCACGGCUAGAGUGUGUCAGAGGGGGGUAGAAUUCCACGUGUAGCAGUGAAAUGCGUAGAGAUGUGGAGGAAUACCGGUGGCGAAGGCGGCAUCCUGGACCGGCAUUGACGCUGAGGAGCGAAAGCCAGGGGAGCAAACGGG
rnacentral:rRNA from 1 species